rnacentral:rRNA from 1 species
AGAGUUUGAUCAUGGCUCAGGAUGAACGCUGGCGGCGUGCUUAACACAUGCAAGUCGAACGAAGCACUUUAUUUGAUUUCCUUCGGGACUGAUUAUUUUGUGACUGAGUGGCGGACGGGUGAGUAACGCGUGGGUAACCUGCCUUGUACAGGGGGAUAACAGUUGGAAACGGCUGCUAAUACCGCAUAAGCGCACAGCAUCGCAUGAUGCAGUGUGAAAAACUCCGGUGGUAUAAGAUGGACCCGCGUUGGAUUAGCUAGUUGGUGAGGUAACGGCCCACCAAGGCGACGAUCCAUAGCCGACCUGAGAGGGUGACCGGCCACAUUGGGACUGAGAUACGGCCCAGACUCCUACGGGAGGCAGCAGUGGGGAAUUUUGCGCAAUGGGGGAAACCCUGACGCAGCAACGCCGCGUGCGGGACGACGGCCUUCGGGUUGUAAACCGCUUUCAGCAGGGAAUAAUUUUGAAGGUACCUGCAGAAGAAGCUCCGGCUAACUACGUGCCAGCAGCCGCGGUAAUACGUAGGGAGCGAGCGUUAUCCGGAAUCAUUGGGCGUAAAGCGCGCGUAGGCGGCCCGUCAAGCGGGGUUUCAAAUCCAGGGGCUCAACCUCUGGCCGGACCCCGAACUGGCGGGCUCGAGUGCGGUAGAGGAAGGUGGAAUUCCCAGUGUAGCGGUGAAAUGCGCAGAUAUUGGGAAGAACACCGAUGGCAAAGGCAGCCUUCUGGGCCGCCACUGACGCUGAGGCGCGAAAGCUAGGGGAGCGAACAGGAUUAGAUACCCUGGUAGUCCUAGCCGUAAACGAUGGGCACUAGGUGUGGGGGGACAUUCCCUCCGCGCCGCAGCAAACGCAUUAAGUGCCCCGCCUGGGGAGUACGGCCGCAAGGCUAAAACUCAAAGGAAUUGACGGGGGCCCGCACAAGCAGCGGAGCAUGUGGCUUAAUUCGAAGCAACGCGAAGAACCUUACCAGGGCUUGAAAUCAUGGUGAAGCGGCGGAAACGCCGUGGCCGAGAGGAGCCAUGACAGGUGGUGCAUGGCUGUCGUCAGCUCGUGUCGUGAGAUGUUGGGUUAAGUCCCGCAACGAGCGCAACCCCUGUCGCGUGUUGCCAGCAUUCAGUUGGGGACUCGCGCGAGACUGCCGGCGUCAAGCCGGAGGAAGGUGGGGACGACGUCAAGUCAUCAUGCCCCUUAUGCCCUGGGCUGCACACGUGCUACAAUGGCCGGUACAACGGGCUGCGACGCCGCGAGGCGGAGCGAAUCCCUCAAAGCCGGCCCCAGUUCGGAUCGCAGGCUGCAAUUCGCCUGCGUGAAGCCGGAGUUGCUAGUAAUCGCGGAUCAGCACGCCGCGGUGAAUACGUUCCCGGGCCUUGUACACACCGCCCGUCACACCACUCGAGUCGUCUGCACCCGAAGUCGCCGGCCCAACCCGCAAGGGGAGGAGGCGCCGAAGGUGUGGAGGGUAAGAGGGGUGAAGUCGUAACAAGGUA